AAGGCUCUUAACACAUUUCGACCUGCUCAAUAAGUUUAGUGUUUCGAUUAUAAAAAUUUUAUUAGUUUGAAUGCUCGUGGAAAAGAGUUAAAUCUAAUAUUUCUGUUUUCGUAGUUAUUAUUAUUAGCUUUGGAGGGUUUUCCUUUAGGGCAUUGGUAGUAUUUUACUGUGAGAACCUUAAGGAUUUAUUUGGUUUCUUUUCUGCUUUUCUUACAAAAGAAUUUUAUAAUCAAACAUUACUUUUUUACCCCCACGCAAUGAGAAGUAAGCUCAAGUAGCCUAGAAUAAUGUAAUCUGCCCCUUUCGCUAACAGCAACUGAUUUCCCAUAGUUUGUAGUUUGAUAGUAGGUGGGCAUACAAGU